rnacentral:rRNA from 1 species
CCUACGGGAGGCAGCAGUGGGGAAUAUUGCGCAAUGGGGGAAACCCUGACGCAGCUACGCCGCGUGAGCGAUGAAGGCCUUCGGGUCGUAAAGCUCUGUCUUUUGGGACGAUAAAAGACGGUACCAAAGGAGGAAGCCACGGCUAACUACGUGCCAGCAGCCGCGGUAAU